rnacentral:rRNA from 1 species
AUACGGAGGGUGCAAGCGUUACUCGGAAUCACUGGGCGUAAAGGAUGCGUAGGCGGAUGAUCAAGUCAGGAGUGAAAUCCUACAGCUUAACUGUAGAACUGCUCUUGAAACUGUUCAUCUAGAAUAUGGAAGAGGCAGAUGGAAUUAGUGGUGUAGGGGUAAAAUCCGUAGAGAUCACUAGGAAUACCGAUUGCGAAGGCGAUCUGCUGGGACAUUAUUGACGCUGAGGCAUGAAAGCGUGGGGAGCAAACAGGAUUAGAUACCCUAGUAGUCC